rnacentral:rRNA from 1 species
UACAGAGGUCUCAAGCGUUGUUCGGAUUCAUUGGGCGUAAAGGGUGCGUAGGCGGCGCGGUAAGUCGGGUGUGAAAUCUCGGAGCUUAACUCCGAAACUGCAUUCGAUACUGCCGUGCUUGAGGACUGGAGAGGAGACUGGAAUUUACGGUGUAGCAGUGAAAUGCGUAGAUAUCGUGAGGAAGACCAGUGGCGAAGGCGGAUCUCUGGACAGCUCCUGACGCUGAGGCGCGAAGGCUAGGGGAGCAAACGGG